AUUGAACGCUGGCGGCAUGCCUUACACAUGCAAGUCGAACGGCAGCACGGGUGCUUGCACCUGGUGGCGAGUGGCGAACGGGUGAGUAAUACAUCGGAACGUACCUUAUCGUGGGGGAUAACGCAGCGAAAGCUGUGCUAAUACCGCAUACGCCCUGAGGGGGAAAGCGGGGGAUCGAAAGACCUCGCGCGAUUAGAGCGGCCGAUGCCUGAUUAGCUUGUUGGUGGGGUAAAAGCCCACCAAGGCGACGAUCAGUAGCUGGUCUGAGAGGACGAUCAGCCACACUGGGACUGAGACACGGCCCAGACUCCUACGGGAGGCAGCAGUGGGGAAUUUUGGACAAUGGGGGCAACCCUGAUCCAGGAAUGCCGCGUGAGUGAAGAAGGCCUUCGGGUUGUAAAGCUCCUUUGUCAGGGAAGAAACACCGGCUCUAACACAGUCCGGGAAUGACGGUACCUGAAGAAUAAGCACCGGCUAACUACGUGCCAGCCGCCGCAGUAA
rnacentral:rRNA from 1 species